rfam:Nitrospirae bacterium RIFCSPLOWO2_02_42_7 rifcsplowo2_02_sub10_scaffold_1247, whole genome shotgun sequence.
GGGCCCAUAGCUCAGAUUGGUAGAGCUACCGGCUCAUAACCGGUUGGUCCCAGGUUCAAGUCCUGGUGGGCCCA